CGCGGCCUAUCAGCUUGUUGGUGAGGUAAUGGCUCACCAAGGCGACGACGGGUAGCCGGCCUGAGAGGGCGACCGGCCACACUGGGACUGAGACACGGCCCAGACUCCUACGGGAGGCAGCAGUAGGGAAUAUUGGGCAAUGGGCGCAAGCCUGACCCAGCGACGCCGCGUGAGGGAUGAAGGUCUUCGGAUUGUAAACCUCUUUCAGUAGGGAAGAAGCGAAAGUGACGGUACCUAAAGAAGAAGCACCGGCUAACUAUGUGCCAGCAGCCGCGGUAAUACAUAGGGUGCAAGCGUUGUCCGGAAUUAUUGGGCGUAAAGAGCUCGUAGGUUGUUUGUCGCGUCGAUUGUGAAAAUCUGAGGCUCAACCUCAGACCUGCAGUCGAUACGGGCAAACUAGAGUGUGGUAGGGGAGACUGGAAUUCCUGGUGUAGCGGUGGAAUGCGCAGAUAUCAGGAGGAACACCAAUGGCGAAGGCAGGUCUCUGGGCCAUAACUGACACUGAGGAGCGAAAGUGCGGGGAGCGAACAGGAUUAGAUACCCUGGUAGUCCGCACCGUAAACGGUGGGCACUAGUUGUGGGAACCUUCCACGGUUUCCGCGACGCAGCAAACGCAUUAAGUGCCCCGCCUGGGGAGUACGG
rnacentral:rRNA from 1 species